CCUACGGGCGGCAGCAGUGGGGAAUAUUGGGCAAUGGGCGCAAGCCUGACCCAGCAACGCCGCGUGAAGGAAGAAGGCUUUCGGGUUGUAAACUUCUUUUCUCAGGGACGAAGCAAGUGACGGUACCUGAGGAAUAAGCCACGGCUAAAUAAGUGCCAGCAGUCGCGGUAAUACGGAGGUGGCAAGAGUUUACCGGAUUUACUGGGUGUAAAGGGCUUGUAGGUGGGAAAGCAAGUGAGAUGGGAAAACCAUGGGCUCAACCUGUGGCCUGCAUUUGAAACUGUUUUUCUUGUGUACUGGAGAGGCAGACGGAAUGCCUAGUGUAGCGGUGAAAUGCGUAGAUAUUAGGAGGAACACCAGUGGCGAAGGCGGUCUGCUGGACAGCAACUGACGCUGAGGCGCGAAAGCGUGGGGAGCAAACAGGAUUAGAUACCCGUGUAGUC
rnacentral:rRNA from 1 species